ACUCCUACGGGAGGCAGCAGUGGGGAAUAUUGCACAAUGGGGAAACCCUGAUGCAGCCAUGCCGCGUGUGUGAAGAAGGCCUCGGUUGUAAGCACUUCAGUAGGAGGAAGGUAGUGUAGUUAACACCUGCACUAUUUGACGUUACCUACAGAAGAAGCACCGGCUAACUCCGUGCCAGCAGCCGCGGUAAUACGGAGGGGUGCGAGCGUUAAUCGGAAUUACUGGGCGUAAAGCGCAUGCAGGUGGUUUGUUAAGUCAGAUGUGAAAGCCCGGGGGCUCAACCUCGGAAUUGCAUUUGAAACUGGCAAACUAGAGUACUGUAGAGGGGGUAGAAUUUCAGGUGUAGCGGUGAAAUGCGUAGAGAUCUGAAGGAAUACCGGUGGCGAAGGCGGCCCCUGGACAGAUACUGACACUCAGAUGCGAAAGCGUGGGGAGCAAACA
rnacentral:rRNA from 1 species